rnacentral:rRNA from 1 species
CGCCCAGACUCCUACGGGAGGCAGCAGUGGGGAAUAUUGCACAAUGGGGGAAACCCUGAUGCAGCGACGCCGCGUGAGUGAAGAAGUAUUUCGGUCUGUAAAGCUCUAUCAGCAGGGAAGAAAAUGACGGUACCUGACUAAGAAGCCCCGGCUAACUACGUGCCAGCAGCCGCGGUAAUACGUAGGGGGCAAGCGUUAUCCGGAUUUACUGGGUGUAAAGGGAGCGUAGACGGCUGUGCAAGCCAGAUGUGAAAGCCCGGGGCUCAACCCCGGGACUGCAUUUGGAACUGUGUGGCUGGAGUGUUGGAGAGGCAGGCGGAAUUCCUAGUGUAGUGGUGAAAUGCGUAGAUAUUAGGAGGAACACCAGUGGCGAAGGCGGCCUGCUGGACGAUGACUGACGUUGAGGCUCGAAAGCGUGGGGAGCGAACAGGAUUAGAUACCCUAGUA